GGCCGCCUGGCGAAAUGGCAUCGCGUCUGACUACGACUGAGUAGAUGACAAAUCAGGAGAUUGCAGGUUCGACCCCUGCGGUGGUCA